rnacentral:rRNA from 1 species
GACGAACGCUGGCGGCGUGCUUAACACAUGCAAGUCGAACGGAAAGGCCCUGCUUUUGUUGGGUGCUCGUGUGGCGAACGGGUGAGUAACACGUGAGUAACCUGCCCUUGUCUUUGGGAUAACUUCAGGAAACUGGGGCUAAUACCGGAUAUAAGCUCUUGCUGCAUGGUGGGGGUUGGAAAGUUUCGGCGGUUGGGGAUGUACUCGCGGCUUAUCCGCUUGUUUGUGGGGUAGUGGCUUACCAAGGCUUUGACGGGUAGCCGGCCUGAGAGGGUGAACGGGCACAUUGGGACUGAGAGACGGACCAGACUGCUACGGGAGGCAGCAGUGGGGAAUAUGACAGAAUGGGCGGAAGCCUGAGGCAGCAACGUCGCGUGCGGGAUGACGGCCUUCGGGGUGUAAACCGCUUUCGCCUGUGACGAAGCGGGAGUGACGGUAAUGGGUAAAGAAGCACCGGCUAACUACGUG